UUAUAAUAAAGAGUAGAUGGAACAAAUAUAUUAAAGUAAAAGCAAUAAAUAUAUGUAUGAAAAUCGGAAUAACUAUUAAUCAAAUCAAAUUUAAUAAAAUCAAUGAAGCAAUAUAAUCUAAUUAUUCAUAUAUAAAUGGUUAUGUGUAUAGAAUACGUAUUUUAUUGGAUCAACUGAUAUAAUUAUUAAAAAUGAAUGAAUACAAAAGAAACAAAAAUAAAAUAAAAUGAAGUGAAUUAAAUAAAUUGAAAUUAUGCUGACUUUAGUGAAAAUUUUUUUGAAUUCUCACAUUUUCUUUCAUAUUUUCUACUGGCUUUCCCACAUAUUCUCGCAACCAGACACCAACACUUCACAUGAUACAGCAGGAAAUGAUUAUAUCUUCAAUAUCAGUACAGUUGUCAUUUUUAAAAUAUUGAUUUUAAAGUGAUUCAUUAUUUAAAUAUUUAUGCAUAUUACAUAGAUAUUGAGUGUAAGGAUAAAUCAAAAAUUAAAAAUAACUAAGUAAUUUUAUUAUUAGUUUUAUUGGAAAAAUAAUAUUUUGAAAUUAUCAAUAAUUAUUAUUACAUAUUAUUUUAAAAAUAGUUUCUUUCAUUCUUUAUACAUUUUAUAUAAAUAAUACAUGUAUUGAAUUGUAAUAUAAAUAAAUUUAAUUAAACCAA